GGGGGUAUAGUUAAAUUAACAUUUAAUUUGCAAUUAAAAGAUAUUAUUAAUAAAUAAUUUCCCUCA
rnacentral:tRNA from 1 species